CCCGAUUCGGAUACCGAAUCCACGCAUUCUGUUGCUUCGGCCAGAAUCAGAUUCCAAUGGUGAAUCCACUCGAUCUGAGCUUCGGCCAGAACCCGAUUCGGAUAACGAAUCCACGCAUUCUGUUGCUUCGGCCAGAAUCAGAUUCCAAUGGUGAAUCCACUCGAUCUGAGCUUUGGCCAGAACCCGAUUCGGAUAACGAAUCCACGCAUUCUGUUGCUUCGGCCAGAAUCAGAUUCCAAAUGGUGAAUCCACUCGAUCUGAGCUUCGGCCAGAACCCGAUUCGGAUAACGAAUCCACGCAUUCUGUUGCUUCGGCCAGAAUCAGAUUCCA
rnacentral:lncRNA from 1 species